GGGCUCGCAGGCGGUUUCUUAAGUCUGAUGUGAAAGCCCCCGGCUCAACCGGGGAGGGUCAUUGGAAACUGGGGAACUUGAGUGCAGAAGAGGAGAGUGGAAUUCCACGUGUAGCGGUGAAAUGCGUAGAGAUGUGGAGGAACACCAGUGGCGAAGGCGACUCUCUGGUCUGUAACUGACGCUGAGGAGCGAAAGCGUGGGGAGCGAACAGGAUUAGAUACCCUGGUAGUCCACGCCGUAAACGAUGAGUGCUAAGUGUUAGGGGGUUUCCGCCCCUUAGUGCUGCAGCUAACGCAUUAAGCACUCCGCCUGGGGAGUACGGUCGCAAGACUGAAACUCAAAGGAAUUGACGGGGGCCCGCACAAGCGGUGGAGCAUGUGGUUUAAUUCGAAGCAACGCGAAGAACCUUACCAGGUCUUGACAUCCUCUGACUAUCCUAAAGAUAGGACGUCCCCUUCGGGGGCAGAGUGACAGGUGGUGCAUGGUUGUCGUCAGCUCGUGUCGUGAGAUGUUGGGUUAGGUCCCGCAACGAGCGCAACCCUUGAUCUUAUU
rnacentral:rRNA from 1 species